UACGUAGGGGCCUAGCGUUGUCCGGAUUUAUUGGGCGUAAAGAGCUCGUAGGCGGUUCGGUAAGUCAGGUGUGAAAUCUCCACGCUCAACGUGGAGGCGCCACCUGAAACUGCCGUGACUCGAGUCCGGUAGGGGAGUGUGGAAUUCCCGGUGUAGCGGUGAAAUGCGCAGAUAUCGGGGGAAUACCAGUGGCGAAAGCGGCACCCUAGCAUUUUUCUGACGCUCAGUGUACGAAAGCGGUGGGAGCGAACGG
rnacentral:rRNA from 1 species